GCCUAAAAUCUAGCCCAUCUCCUCCCUAUGUUAACUCCAAUUAACUUUCAACAAACAAAACAUUUUAAUAUAUUAGUAUAGGCGAUUAAAAUUUUCUUGGCGCUUUAGAAAUAGUACCGCAAGGGAAUGAUGAAAUAGCAAUGAAAUAACCUUUAAGCCCUAAAUAGCAGAGCUUCCCCCUCGUACCUUUUGCAUCAUGGUCUAGCUAGUCUUACUUAGGCAAAGUGAAAACUUUAGUCUAAUCCCCCGAAACUAAGCGAGCUACUUCAAAACACCGUAAGGGGCCAACCCAUCUCUGUUGCAAAAGAGUGGGAUGAUUUUCAAGUAGAGGCGUUUUUCCUACCGAGCUUAGAGAUAGCUGGUUAUUCAGGAAAAGAGUUUAAGCUCUACCUUAAGCCCUACCCAUUAUAUUAAACAAAAUAUUAAGCUUAAGAGCUAUUCAGAUAGGGCACAGCUUAUCUGAAUAAGGAUACAACCUCUAACAUUGGGUUAAUUCAAAACCCCAAAAAUUAAGUUGGCCUAAAAGCAGUCAUCUUAAAUAAAGCGUUAAAUCUCAACUACUUUAAACCCUAAAUCCCCUAAAUCAUCAUCAACCCUUAAUUACUACUGAAUUAUAUUAUAUUUAUAUAAAAAUGAUAAUGCUAGAACUAGUAACAAGAAUUAGCCCUUCUCCUAAAUGUAAACUUAAGCCAAAACGGAUAUUCCAUUGGCAAUUACCGCAAAUGCAUUAACUAUAGUACCCCAUACUAGAAAACCCUAUAAACCCCCAAGCGUUAACCUAACACCAGAACAUUACAGGAAAGAUUAAUAGAGGAAGAAGGAACUCGGCAAAUUUCAGUCCCGCCUGUUUACCAAAAACAUCGCCUCUUGCUUAAACAUAAGAGGUCCAGCCUGCCCAGUGAUAUAAUUCAACGGCCGCGGUAUCCUAACCGUGCGAAGGUAGCAUAAUCACUUGUUCUUUAAAUAAGGACUUGUAUCAACGGCAUCACGAGGACUGUACUGUCUCCUUUCUCUAAUCAGUGAAACUGAUCUCCCCGUGAAGAAGCGGGGAUAUAUAUAUAAGACGAGAAGACCCCAUGGAGCUUAAAACAUACACACACCUCUGAAUUACUAAAUCAGUUAAAUAAAGAAAUUUGUGAGUCAGUUUUAGGUUGGGGAGACCACGGAAUAAAACUAAACUUCCAUGACAAACGGGCCAACGCCCUUAUCCAAGAAUUACAAUUCUAAGAAUUAAUAAACUAAUGUCCAAUGAUCCGGCUAGCCGAUCAACGAACCAAGUUACCCUGGGGAUAACAGCGCAAUCUGCUUCAAGAGCCCCUAUCGACAAGCAGGUUUACGACCUCGAUGUUGGAUCAGGGUAUCCUAGUGGUGCAGCCGCUACUAACGGUUCGUUUGUUCAACGAUUAAAACCCUA
rnacentral:rRNA from 1 species